rfam:TPA: Bos taurus chromosome 10, whole genome shotgun sequence.
UCCCAGGUGACGCAGUGGUAAAGAAUCUGCCUGCAAUGCAGGAGACCCGGGUUCAAUCCCUGGGUUGGGAA